rnacentral:rRNA from 1 species
UACGUAGGGUGCGAGCGUUAAUCGGAAUUACUGGGCGUAAAGCGUGCGCAGGCGGUUUUGUAAGCCAGGUGUGAAAUCCCCGGGCUCAACCUGGGAAUGGCAAUGGAUACUGGCAAGCUAGAGUGCGGUAGAGGGUAGUGGAAUUCCCGGUGUAGCGGUGAAAUGCGUAGAGAUCGGGAGGAACACCAGUGGCGAAGGCGGCUACCUGGACCAGCACUGACACUGAGGCACGAAAGCGUGGGGAGCAAACAGG